GUUACGUGGUUCGGUUUGGGUAAAAAGGAAAAGCAAGCCGAGUCCGUGUAGGUGUCAAAAAUAGUGAUCUUUAUUACACACUUUGCGCAGAAGUGCGGGGAAAACAGUUUUACAUCAACAAUCUCCGCCAGGCGGAGGCUUUUCAUGCUUAUAUUACCAUGAUGACGUCACACAGUUGGACCUUACUGGAAAUGAUAACAGUUUGGGCCUGUUCAGAGAGUUUACCUAAUAUGGACAUGAACUACUAGUUUUUAGAGAAAAACAAGUGUGUAUUACAUUGUGCAUUUUGUGAAAGUAUAUCUAUCAGAAUGGUGUCCUCAAACGACCCUCCUAUUCUUACUAAGUGUGUGUGUAAACGUGCGUGAGUUAUAUAAGUACGUGCAAGUUUUCUAAAGGCCUGUGUACGUGCAGAACUGAACAUAAAACGAAGACAGGGUCCAGCAGGACCCACAGGCUUCUGAAAAACAGAACCAGGC